AAAAUACCGCAAUCAACAUGGAGACGACGGCGCCCCGCGGCGGCGGCGGCGCGACACAGAGGUGACCCCUCACUCGUGACCCGAAGGCUGUUGCAGCGGCGCGAGGGAGCGCUUCCUCUCUUGCGACCCGGAAGCGACGACGGCGCGCGACCCGAAGACUGCAGCGGCGCGAGGGAGCGACUGCUCUCUUAUGACCCGGAGGCGCGACCCGAAGGCUACUGCAGCGGCGCGAUAGAGCGGCUCCUCUCUUGCGACCCGGAGGCAACGAUGACGGGCGACCCAGAGGCGAGCACAGCGGCAACGGCGUCCACGCCUGCGGCGUCGGUCUUCUCGCAGUGAUGCAAUGACUGCUUUGAGGGAUUAUUCUGCAUAAUAUUAUGCUUUUCAACUUGCUAAAAUUCACAUGAUCAAUCUGCAGUGUGCUUUGGUCAAGAUGUUUCUCCUAUUCAUUUUGCUGCCCUAUAAAAGGAAUGCAGGUAUGUGAAUGCAGUUCAUCAAGUUCACCAGCAGCUAACUUCUUCAGGUCUUCUCUCUUAUCCAGCAUCACUGUUGGCAGUCCACCGUUGCUAUCUCAACCAUUUGUAUCACCAAGAUCUUUGGGUACUGGUGUUGUAGCUUCUUAUCUUGCUUGUGGUCCUACAGAUGAAGCUCUCUCAGCGUUGGAGCAUGUUAUACCGCCA